GCCUUCGUGAUGUAGUGGUCAGCACGCUGGACUCGUAUCCAGAGGUCCGUGGUUCGAGUCCCGGCGAAGGCG
rnacentral:tRNA from 1 species